CCUCUUCUUCUCAUCUUGGAAUUGUCUGAAUCAGGACUGAAAAGAAAACAGAUUAUUUGUAUGAACACUACAAAUACUGCAAGUAUUAAUCCUGCCAGAAAUGACAAUAGAAAUAAAACCAAAACACAUUUUGGUGAAAGUGUGGAAAUAUAUUUCACAAAAUGCCAAUUUUAUUAAAAACCUACUUAUGAGAAAAGCGACUAGAAACAAUUUAGAACAAAAAUGUCAAAUUAUUCUACAGGUAAUAAACUGUAUCUUAGGUGAGUCUAACUGAUUUUUUACAAAAAGAGUCUCGCUAGAAGCUUUAAAUCAGUGCAAAACCCCAUAUUGUUGGCAUCUGUCGUGUUUUACUUUUCCACUGUGUGCAGAAGACUGCCAAAGUAACAUAAAAAAACUGCGAAAGAGGCUGUUGAUUAAAGGCUAACACC